ACUCAAUCAGAAAUUCAAAAUGCAACAAUCUCCUUCCGUUCCCGCUUCCACACCGCCGCAAACCGCCACCUUUCCCCGCAAAAUCGGCGUCGCAGUCGACCUCUCCGACAAGAGUUCAUACACCGUCACAUGGGCAAUCCAACACCACAUCCAACCCCACGACACCGUAGUCCUCCUCCACGUCUGCACCACGACACACGACAACAACGACACCGACGAAAUGAAGAAGAUGAAAAACUACUUCCACGUGUACACGAUUUCCAAACUUGACGAUUUUGCGAAAUCGUUACUUCAAGCACAGAUUCCUUACAAUCUCCACAUUGUGAUGGAUCAUGAAAUCAAGGAGCGUCUCUGCUUAGAGAUCAACAGUCUCAACCUCAGCGCGCUUAUCGUUGGAAGGGGGCGAGUAUUGCGUUCGCCAUUGCGAAUGUCCUGUUGGUGUUGUGGGAAGUUCUGAUGAAACGGACGGUGGAGAUUUGAUUUCCACUGCAAACUCCGGUGUUGGAAGAUUCGCUGAAAAUUCUACGGCUAAUUCUGUUUUGCCACCGCCGAAAGAAACAUAUGUGGAAGAAAUUGAUGAUAUGUUGCAGAAAUAUAACGAAGGUUUACUUAGCAGAGAUGACUUCAAUAAACUCUUUGAUAGAGUCUUCGAUCAAAUCGUAGAAGAAGAACUUAUGGACGACACUGACGAACAAAUCCUGAUGAGUUUAAGACUUGAGAAUGAGAGGAGACGUCAAUCCCAGACCUCCACUAGAUGCAAACGUACAAAGCGUAGACAUACAUGAAAAGGUUGAGCAUCUUCUUCAUACGAACAAAGGAAAUUGUAAGCAUGGGUUUGCAAGGUUUGAUGUGAUCUCUGGAGGAUGUUCGAAGAUUGUUUAUUUUUCUUUCCAAAUACCGUCUGUAUUAUAUUAUACUCUUUGAUGUAGAUGUAGCCUUUCGACUGUUUUAGAGGUUAUUCUCCCAUCUGGGUGCGGGAGAUCACACCAUCACAACAAACAUUGAGCUCCAAUAUUUAACUUAUAUUUCAAGUUACUAAGUUGAUAGAACUAAUUAGUUUACAUUUCUGUUUAGUUGAUACUACUAUUGUGUAAAAACAUGAAAUUGUAUGUGCUUGAUCAAUCAUUAGUGUGACAUGAAAUAGAUUGAAGAAA